rnacentral:rRNA from 1 species
AACGAACGCUGGCGGCGUGCUUAACACAUGCAAGUCGAACGUGAAAGACUUCGGUCGAGUAAAGUGGCGAACGGGUGAGUAACGCGUGGGUAAUCUGCCCUCGGGCGGGGGAUAACCUCUCGAAAGGGGGGCGUAAUACCGCAUGAGACCACGGCUUCUUGGAGCUGUGGGAAAAGGUGGGUCGCAAGACCAGCCACCUGAGGAUGAGCCCGCGUACCAUUAGGUAGUUGGUGGGGUAAUGGCCUACCAAGCCCGAGAUGGUUAGCUGGUCUGAGAGGACGAUCAGCCACACUGGGACUGAGACACGGCCCAGACUCCUACGGGAGGCAGCAGUGGGGAAUAUUGCGCAAUGGGGGAAACCCGUACGACGCAGCAACGACCGCCGUGUGUGAAGAAGG